rnacentral:misc_RNA from 1 species
GCCAGUUCCUGUAACUGGUUCUUAUACAUUUCCAGAAGCUUUCAACAAACAAGUUUAAAUUCAACACAACAACAGCCAGGAACAAGGAUCAAAGAAAUGAAAUGGAAAAACAAGGAAUCAGCGGAUAUCAAUGCGAUGAAUCGGAGCUCCGAUUACUCUCGCCGUCGGCAUCGUCGACGGAGGAGGAUCGCAGGGCUGCUAGGGUUUUUG